rnacentral:misc_RNA from 1 species
AAUGGCUGCCUUCAUUACGUCUUUUACGUCAUGGUGAAGGAAAACUGGAGAAGUAUGUCACCAGUGUCACCUGCUUAAAAUAAGAUACCCUACAAGUUAUACUCUGCAAUUUCAUCUGAUCACGUGGCCUGAAUGCUGAAACUGUUGUUUCCCAAAAUGUCGUCUCUUGCUGCACGUACCGGCUAUGCGUUUCUUCCCAUGUAGAAAUUCUUCACAACAGUAAAACAUGGUGAAAUCUGAACUUCUCCAUUGCAGUCCAAUGAGAUGUGCAGUGCGAUUUGAUGCAUUGCAGGCUUGCAACCUGUACCGUUUGUGGCUUUUGUCACAUGCAGAAGCAUUUCCAAACAAUUUAAAAUUUCCAUGGUCAGUUUUAUGUUUGAGCUGUUUGUGUUUGAGCUGUUUAUGGUUUUGCUGUAUGGGGUACAGUGGUUUUGCAGUCCUUUUCCAGUUGAGAGAUGCGCUGAAAUGGAGCUAGUGCAGACUAGCAAUUGAACAUCAUACUUAAAUGUGUCAUUUGCCUAUGUUGGUGUCCAUGCAGUAUAUGCAGUGUUGUGCAAAAUAGACGAUGUUGCCUGAUGGCUGUCGGGCUUAUUUUAUCGGCAGCAUUUUGUCGAUGUGUCGUGUCUUGCAACCUGUAUCGCCGUUGAGUUGAUUCGUUUGCCGCCGUUCCUUAGACUUAAUCCACCGGUGAAACUAAGAAGACGUUGCUGAAAUUCAAGAUUGAUCAAUAAAUUAUGUAGAUAAAUUGCAAGUGCAUAAUCUGGGCUCCCUUCUUCAGUGGCCCCGUUUCCCUAAAUAACCACUAACCAACGCCCGCCGGUGGUCACUCACUCGCUGCGACAACCAGGAGGAAGGGAGAUGUUUGGUCGAACGGGGACUUGCAAGGCGCAUGAUUCGAUGAAAUCUGUUGGAGGGUCAUGAUUCUAAGCCGGAAGCCUACUAUGAUGCAUUGCUCUCUUAAAAACUGUUCCUCGGCUCUCUUCGCUCUUUUUCCGGUUUCUCUCCGACCCGGCAACAACUCCAUUCUUCGGACAUUCUUCGUCGUAAUAUCAGUUCGCAAUCAUGGUUAAUUAUGGCGUUGUGUUGCUGCCGGGCGUUGUAUCGUCGAUGUCGACUACGAGAGAAUUUUGUAUAAAAGGAAAGAGAAAGACAACAGAAGUCAAUCAAGUGAGCAUCUCCGACCCGUCAAGAACUGCAUUCUUCGUCGAAUUAAUAGGUCGCAGUCACAAUCACGGCUAUUGGUUGUUUCGUCGAUUUCUGGGUCGACCACUGGUGUGCUGAUGCCCCUGGUUAUGGUGGAUACCAAACCGCAACGCCGCCGCCUUACUACGCAACAACAUACGCAACGACCAGUUACUACACCGAGGUUGCACAGAUAGGUUUACAGUUACACUACCAAGGGUCCAGGUACACCACAACUUAUGCUGCUCCGAGCUACUACACCGAAGACCAGAAGUUUUAUUCUUCCCCGGGCUACACUACCAAAUCGUAUGUGCACACCUCCGAGGCUCCUAAAUACUACACCACCAAGGCACCUGAGUCUACACAACUACCUAUACUGUCCCAAGUACUACACCAAGGUUCCAAAGUACUACAGCACUAAGGCACCGGACUACUACACGACUAUAUAUGCUGCCCCAACCUGCGACACCGAGGCUCCAGCUUAUUACCUCACCAAAGCGGUCGAACACAGUGGCGCCCAAGUACGAUGGAAAUCAGUCCAGUGUGCAUCUCCGCCGCCCAACACGGCAGCCCCGAAGUUUCGAAUAAACUUCGUUUAAAAUAGUGGAACGGCAAAGAGCGAGGUCUCUUUAUCGAACAAUUCGAUUUCUAUUGCAAUCUAGUUAAAUUGAACGGUAAAGAUGGCGGCGGCGUUGCAGUCGUACGUUGACACUGCGUCGUUAAACUUGACAUUGUCGGUCAGAAAGCCGAAUUUCAUGAUGACCGUACCAGGGUCGUACCAUCACCUACGACAAGUGCCUAUUACCACAGGUGGUAAACGAAAAUCUUUGCCUAUCCUUGAGCGGUGCCCCUAAAGAUGUCCGCGAGCAAGUGACGCUGUUCCGCAACAUCGAUGGCCCAGUCCUCCCUAACUAUUUGAGCCAAUGGACUUUCGAGAAGGUCAAAGCGACAUUGACCUUUAACGAUGGUCAAAAGAAAGUCUGACCAUAUUGUCGCUGCUGUCGGUUUGAACGCAAACACGGAUUUGGAUGUCGCUUCUGAUUUGGAAAUAGAUUCAAAUUUUGGUGGUUAUCGAGUCAAUGCUGAGCUUGAAGCACGACCACACGGCACACGCCCGGUUGGAUGGAGAUGCUGCCUUCUUUUGUGAUAGCAAAUUGGGUCGUCAUCGCAUGAAACAUCACCACCAUGCUGUUGUAUCGGGGCAAUUGGCUGGAGAGAAGAAUACUGGCAUUGAAACCUGGAUGAACAAUUGGAGUGCAAUCGGUGUCGUGCUGUUUCCGUUUGUCGUAUCGUUGAAGGUUGGGUCGAUCACUGGUGUACCCAUGUCUCCUGGGUAUGGCGGAUACCAAAGCACCACGCCGCUGCCUUGCUACACAACGACAACAUUCGCACCAACCGGUUACUACACUGAGGGCCACAAUUACUAAACCACCAAGGCUCCAGAGUAUUACACCGCAGUUAAUGCUGCCCCGAGCUAAAUCACCAAAGAUCCCGAGUACUACACCGAGGCUCCCAAACACUACACCACCGAGUCACCGGAGUACUACACGUAUGUUGCCCCAGCUUAUACACCGAGGCUCCCAAGUAUUACUCAGUUCCUAGCUACUACACCGGGGCUCCAACUAAUUACACCACCAAAGCGGCUGAACACUACACCGAGCCGCCCAAGUACUACACCACCAAGGCUCCAGAGUAUUACACCACAACUUAUGCUUCCCCGAGCCACUAUACCGAAGCCCCGAAGUAUUACUCUGCCCCAAGCUACACAACUACAACUGAGGCGGCCAAGUAUUACGCAGCCCCAACUUACUACACAGCUCCUUCGUACUACGUUGAACCGGAAUACUACACCGAGGCUCCAGUUUACUACACCACAACCCACGCUAUACCUAGCUACUACACCAAGGCCCCUAAGUACUACGCUACCAAGGCACCUGAGUAUUAUACCACUACUUACGCUGCUCCGACCAGCUACACCGAAGCUCCGAACUAUUGACUCUAUCCCGAGUUACUACACCACUAAGGCACCUGAAUAUUACACCACACCCUACGCUUCCCCAACUUACUACAAGGACGUUUCUUAAUACUAGAGUCGAAUUUUAAUCAUGUUCAGAUAUGUCGGUCAUAUCUUAAUAGUUACUAGUCACUGGGAAUUGUUGAUCUUUAAUGACAAAAUAAUUUUUUAAAACCUGGGUAAUCAUUUUGUACGACUUCUCUUGCCACCUAAAAGCCUUUGACAUUGCGACGUUUUCUGAUUUUUAUUGGAUAUUUUCUAUUUCGCAUGUUGGAGGUGACCUAUUGCUCUAGUCAUCUUUUCAUUCCGACAUGUUCUAGUGUUUGGACAAACUUAAUUUAAAGGGCAAGUUACGAAAGAGACAUACUGUGGUGUUUACUAAAAAUUUUUGAUGUUAACAGCUCUGUUUUUAACUUUAGUUGGCGUAACAUAUGAGUUGCAGAUAGUGUAUGGUUUUUCACACAAGUUUAUUUGAAGGGUCUGGAGUUGAUUAGUCACUUGCCUAUAACUUAUGAAUUUCAAAAUUGUAAAAAAUAUACAAAUCGU